AUGGGUUCUGUCUCAGCACCCAACUUAUCUACAGCAGAAGAAAAUCUGGAAUAUGUACGGACUCUGUAUGAUUUUCCUGGGAAUGAUGCUGAAGACCUACCCUUUAAAAAGGGUGAGCUUCUAGUGAUAAUAGAAAAGCCUGAAGAACAGUGGUGGAGUGCCCGCAACAAGGACGGCCGGGUUGGGAUGAUUCCUGUCCCUUACGUUGAAAAGCUUGUGAGGUCCUCACCACAUGGAAAGCAUGGAAAUAGGAAUUCUAACAGUUAUGGCAUCCCAGAACCUGCUCACGCAUAUGCUCAACCUCAGACCACAACUCCUCUACCUACAGUUGCCAGUACUCCUGGGGCAGCGAUCAACCCUUUGCCAUCCACACAGAAUGGACCUGUCUUUGCAAAAGCAAUCCAGAAGAGAGUACCUUGUGCUUAUGACAAGACUGCCUUGGCAUUGGAGGUUGGUGACAUUGUGAAAGUCACAAGGAUGAAUAUCAAUGGCCAGUGGGAAGGCGAGGUGAAUGGGCGCAAGGGGCUUUUCCCCUUCACACAUGUUAAAAUCUUUGACCCUCAGAACCCCGAUGAUAACGAGUGAUUGCUGUGCUGUCCCUGCUGCUGCCUCCUUCUGCCUGUCAGUCUUCUUUGAAGUGGGAAGCACUCUGUCACAUGCAAGUUACACCAAGCUGCUGGUGGCCGACUUUCAUAUGUUGGCAGUCCCUGCACCUGCGGAAUGCCUCAGCAGCAGCCUCGGCAUUUGUAUCAUAGUCAUGCUGUCAAAGAGUAGCUGAUUUAGAGUUCUUGUGGAUUAUGAGCUGGAAACACUGGCGGAAGCACCCAGUAGAGAGAAUUUAACCUAGAAAGGGUCUUCCUUCUCAUCACUGCCUUGUUUGUACUGGAGGCCAAUGGUCGUGCUCGCCAGAGAGAGUGAGCCUGCUGGUGGUCUACAUGGAGAUGGUGAGGCUUAGCAAGAUCUCGCUGUUGCUGGUUCACAGAACAGUGGCUUUGCCACCAACUUGAUAUUCUUUGGACAACAGAGGAAGUAAAACUCCAGACAAUUCUGUCCGAACUCCUGAAGUGUCUGGCUUGUUUUCAUUUUCUUUUGUUUAGUUUUGUUUUUGGAAGACUAAUUAAAUAUAGUUGUGUGUUCUGAACAGAUUUUUAAAUAGUAGGUUGGAUUUUUGUGAUGGGCUAAGGAACAAUCCAUGUCCCUGAGCUUCCAAACUGAAGCCGCUGUAUGUAACUAAAAAUGUGUGAAGACACCCUGAAGUGAGGCCUUUAUCUUUUGGUUGCCAUAAUACCUUGUUUACCAUGUGGCAAACAGUGUACACAAGCAGCAUUUGCUGUGUGCCGUGCUGUGAAUCACCAAGGUGGGGUGUGGGCCUGUUGUCAUUGUUGCCUCUGACAGGAGCAAACAGGGUGGACCCCUUCAGUGAGCACACCCCUUUGAGAACACAGUGAAGCCCAUGGGCUUACUAGAUUCAUGAGUUAAAUUGCGUUGCCAUGUUCUGCCACACAGGCUCCUCAGCCCUUCCUGCACUGACCUAUCUUGUCCAGGCUGCCCGAGAGUGGUGGCUGUUCUGGUUCUGCAGAACCAGAAUACAGUGCUUCUGAGCAAAAGAAGAUGCCCAUCGACCAUGAGCCACUUUCCUGCAUGUCAGCUAGUACAGAUGUGUGUCUGACCCCUCAUACACACAUCUAGACCAGAGUUCUAGAACCUUCUCUAGUGUGCUCUGUUCAGCUAGACCCUGACGAGGACAAGCCUCCACCCAGCGCAGCAGACUCAGAACAGUGGUUAUUACUGAGUGGCUCCAGCAUCGGUGUCUUCUGUAGCGAUGGCUCUGGCUCUAGAGGCCUCAGGCUUUGAGAACUGAGGAACAUAUUCAGGUGACAGAACCAAUAAAACCAUUUGUCCACUGUAUUUAUUUCUCUUAAAGACUUUUUAAAAUUGUGUUUAUGUUAGGCAUGGUGGCUAUACCUUUAAUCCCAAUACUCAGAAAGGCAAAGGCAAGUGGAUCUCUGAGAGUUCAAGGCUAUCCUAGUCUAUGUAGUUUGUCACAGGACCAGCAGGCCUACAUACAGAGCCCUUGUAUCAGAAAACGCCCUGCCCCACCCCACCCCCAUAAAAAAGGUCACUGGGUGUUUACACUGCAUGUUCGUAUGUGUAUCACAUGGGUGCAGUCCCUAAGGAGGCCAGAAAAGGGUGUUGGUUGGAUCCUCUGGAACUGUGGAGUUACUAUGUAGGUUCCGGGAAUUGAACCUGGGUCCUGUGCAAGAGCAGCAAGUACUCUUAACCACUGAGCCAUCUCUCAGCCUCAUCGGUUUCUCUUUAAGUCAGUAUUCCAUCAGGCUGAUAAGUGCCAUAGUAAAGAAUGUUCAUGUGAUAAAGUAGUGGUCAUUGGAGUUUGGGGAGUGUUGUAUCUCCUUGUCUGUGGUAGAGGUUACUUCUUUUUGCCUCUGAAAGCUGCCAUUUCUAGCCAGACCUGUUGAGUGGACUUAGGUAUUCAGGCCCCAAACUCUGCCUAGAACAAGACUUAAGACUUGCCUUCUGGCCAGUUACACAGUUCAACCCUAGGCCUUUGGUAGCUCCACAGGAAUACAUGCCUUGUUCACAGAGGGCACAACCCCCAAGGAUUCGCACCCUGUCACUGGGGCUUGGACCUCAUGCCUUACACACGCUAGAUAACCGUCUGCCAAUUGGCUCUUUUUUUCUAAAUUUGAGAUGGAAUCUCUAUAAAUUGCCCAUGUUGGCUUCAAGAUUUCAUCCUGGCCUCAGCUGAAAUUACAAAGGUUUGAGUCACCACACCCAGCUCUUAAGGUCUUUUAAAACUACAUUUAACUGAAGGGCUUGAUGCCUUUUGAUUAUAGCAGCUUGCUUAGCACAAGCAGCCAAUUUUGAGAACAGGGUUUCCUGUCUCCCAAGACUGUUGACCAGCAAGACUCCAUAAGAAAUACUUCAUGAUCAGAAUAUCCCGUAACCCUAGAGUUUGGUUUAUGUAAUCAAUUAAUUUGGCCCAUGUAAAUAUCCUCUACAGCUUCCUUGGUGAUCCAGAUCUCAAAAUAAAGUCUCAACUUUCUGAACUCUCAGGAUAUGUGCCAACAAUAGUAAUUUUCUGACUUAGACGCUCAUCAGUCUUUUUACUCAUGAAAAUUUUCCUUUUCACACUGAUAGAAAGUGGCAUCUUCCCUAAGUUCCCUUCCUCUGGGAAGGCCUGGGGAGCAUGGUGGGGCUUUCCUCUUCACCAUCAGUGUUGGGUGGUCUGCUCUGCUGUGUUGUAGAAAGAACUGGGAUUACAAACUCACUCGCUAUGGCUGCUCUGUCUGAGAAGGAAACAAUUAGGUAGGGCAUUAAGGGCUAGUCCUGGGUGACAGCCUCCCAUCCCCAACCCCUACAUAGAAGGCAUGUUUGUCACUUGUACACUGCUUUGAUGCCACCUGUUCUGAAGUUAACAGGGUGGCACCGGCUUUGGCCAUGCAGACUCAACCCUCUGUGCUCACCGAAAGAGACUGUGCCCUCUCUUGGAGUUGCACGUUCCUGGCACUGUGCCAGCCUUCCUCUACAGCUGUUUACAGACAAGAUGGGCCAAGACUGAUGGCCACUGCUCUUGUAACCUUUGCUCAAAAGAAUAAUGAGCAUUUUUUAAAAAAAAGGGAUGAUGUGUUUUUGUUCCAGGUGUUCGUAAUUUAAUCUUUUAAUAUUAUGUUCAUUAACCUCUUAAAAUGAGUGAAUUCUUGAUUGUUUUAACACAGUACCUAAGACUAAUGCUUUCUGUGGACUCCUCACCAUGGAACCAGAGAACCACAUCCCUGGUAACUGCUGUGAGUGUGGACACUAAGCUGCUUGUACAUUCUAAAGGAGCAGGAGGACAGUUCUCUGAGACAGGAGGAACAGUGGCCUUGCUUCUAGACGGUCUUCACUGUGUGUUUUAAAAUGACACAAAACUCUUUUGACAUGUAUAACUUAAAGAUCAUAAGCAUCGGGCAAUAAUAUUUUCUGUGCAAGCUUUUAAAAUUAUUUUUGGGGAUCAUAGCUUGUUUUAUUUUGUGCUAUAAAAUUAACAGUAUUAAAUGACUUAUAUUCUUAGACUACAUUGAGUGUCUUUUUCUUAACAGAUUAGUGCCUUUUUAUUUUUGUAUUCCAUUUUACGUUACUGGUCCCAGCAUCAAAGCCCUUGUUUCCACAGCCUGUUUGUACCUUGUCUCAAUAAAACUUGCACCAGCCGGCAGUGGCAGCACCUCGGUGUCUCAGUGUCUCCUCGGUCAGCCCCACCAGACUCUCCCAGCAGUUAAACUCUGCUGAAGCCCCUGGUACUCCCCAGAGACCACUCACACUGCUCCUGCCUCCUCCCUCAAAAAUGACAGCUUCCUACCGUGGGAGCUUCCACCAAAAGGAAAUAACUAUCCUCUGGCAGUCAUGGGCGCGGUGGAAGCCUAGCACUUACUCAGCAUUCCGAGCAGGAGGUGCACUUAGGGAACCGGUAGAGUUGUUUCUCCUCCUGGCACCUGUACCUGAAAGCUCUGCUCUGCUGGGUAUUUGCUGAGCAUUAACUCAGAUCCAUCAGUUAGAACCAGAAUGGAUCUACAUCUGAGCUGCUGAUGCUGAGGCCUGGGGUGGACAGAGGUGGGGGUCAGAACCUAGUGGCUGGGGGGUCUAGGUACCUAAAGAGCCUGUACAUGUCUCCAAUCCCAGCACUGCAAGGCAGGAGAAUCACGGUCUGAGGGGUUAAACAUCUUGGUACACACAUAAAUAGGCAUGUGAAUAAAUGUACAUAAAAGAUGAAACUUUCUUAUUGGGUUUACAUGAGCCCAGCAAACUAGGUUGUUUUGAGACAGUUUUUCUAUGUAGUCUUGGCUGUCCUGGAACUCACUCUGUUCACCAGGAAUCCACCUGCUUCUGCCUCUGCCUCUGCCUCUGCCUCUGCCUCCCAAAUGCUGCAGCUGAAAGCUGGUUCACCAUCACCCAAAGUAGCAUAAGUUCCUUUCCCAAAGAUCCUCAAAGAUCACAAGGAGAUUCAUACACAGAUAGGAGUGGCAGUAGACAAAAGAACAGCUUGCUCUCCUUGCCCACUGAGCUAGCUGUUGGGACUAGCUCACCUUUUCCUUUCUGUCUGUCUGUCUGAUUCUCUACCACCUUCUUAGAGGCAGGCUCUGUACAUAGCUCUGGCUACUCACUCUGUCUUAAGGAGUGGCUUUUUCUCUCUUUCUUUUGUGAUACAGUUCGGCUGGCCUCAGGCUUCUGAUGUCCCUGCCUCCAAGUCUCAAGUUCUUGGAUUACUUAUAGGUUUGUGCCUCCUAGUUCAUUGAUGGGGAUAGAACCCAUGUUCUCUCCCCAUGUUAGAUACACUACCAAAGGAGCUACAUCCUGGCCUCUAGCCUUUUCUUGGCUGCAAAGGGACUAUCCUGUACCCCUCCG
rnacentral:lncRNA from 1 species